rnacentral:rRNA from 1 species
ACGAAGGUGGCAAGCGUUAUUCGAAAUCACUGGGCUUAAAGGGCGCGUAGGCGGAUAUGUAGGUGUCAGGUGAAAACCCCCGGCUUAACCGGGGAACGGCCUGGCAAACGGCAUAUCUUGAGUCAAGUAGGGGUGUGUGGAACUCUUGGUGGAGCGGUGGAAUGCGUAGAUAUCAAGAGGAACGCCGAAGGUGAAGACAGCACACUGGACUUGUACUGACGCUGAGGCGCGAAAGCGUGGGGAGCGAACAGG